GCCCCGGUAGUCCAAGGGCAGAGACACGGUGCUCAAACCACCGCCAGUGUGGGUUCGAAUCCCACCCGGGGCA
rnacentral:tRNA from 1 species